ACGCAAGUCGAGGGGUAUCCUAGCAAUAGGAGAGACCGGCGCACGGGUGCCUAUCGCGUAUGCAAUCUACCUUUCACAAAGGGAUAGCCCAGAGAAAUUUGGAUUAAUACCUUAUAGUAUAGCGACUUCGCAUGGAGAUGUUAUUAAAGAUUUAUCGGUGAAAGAUGAGCAUGCGUCCCAUUAGCUAGUUGGUAAGGUAACGGCUUACCAAGGCUACGAUGGGUAGGGGUCCUGAGAGGGAGAUCCCCCACACUGGUACUGAGACACGGACCAGACUCCUACGGGAGGCAGCAGUGAGGAAUAUUGGUCAAUGGGCGCAAGCCUGAACCAGCCAUGCCGCGUGCAGGAUGACGGUCCUAUGGAUUGUAAACUGCUUUUGUACAGGAAGAAACACUCGGACGUGUCCGAGCUUGACGGUACUGUAAGAAUAAGGAUCGGCUAACUCCGUGCCAGCAGCCGCGGUAAUACGGAGGAUCCAAGCGUUAUCCGGAAUCAUUGGGUUUAAAGGGUCCGUAGGCGGCUUAAUAAGUCAGUGGUGAAAUCCCUACGCUUAACGUAGGAACGGCCAUUGAUACUGUUAGGCUUGAAUUAUUAGGAAGUAACUAGAAUAUGUAGUGUAGCGGUGAAAUGCUUAGAGAUUACAUGGAAUACCAAUUGCGAAGGCAGGUUACUACUAAUGGAUUGACGCUGAUGGACGAAAGCGUGGGUAGCGAACAGGAUUAGAUACCCUGGUAGUCCACGCCGUANACGAUGGAUACUAGCUGUUGGGAGCAAUCUCAGUGGCUAAGCGAAAGUGAUAAGUAUCCCACCUGGGGAGUACGUUCGCAAGAAUGAAACUCAAAGGAAUUGACGGGGGCCCGCACAAGCGGUGGAGCAUGUGGUUUAAUUCGAUGAUACGCGAGGAACCUUACCAAGGCUUAAAUGUAGAUUGACCGAUUUGGAAACAGAUCUUUCGCAAGACAAUUUACAAGGUGCUGCAUGGGUGUCGUCAGCUCGUGCC
rnacentral:rRNA from 1 species